GGUUGCGAUCAUAAAAGCACUAAUGCACCGGAUCCCAUCAGAACUCCGCAGUUAAGCGUGCUUUGGCGAGAGUAGUACUAGGAUGGGUGACCCCCUGGGAAGUCCUCGUGUUGCAACCC
rnacentral:rRNA from 1 species